GAUGAACGCUGGCGGCGUGCCUAAUACAUGCAAGUCGAGCGAACGGACGAGAAGCUUGCUUCUCUGAUGUUAGCGGCGGACGGGUGAGUAACACGUGGAUAACCUACCUAUAAGACUGGGAUAACUUCGGGAAACCGGAGCUAAUACCGGAUAAUAUUUUGAACCGCAUGGUUCAAAAGUGAAAGACGGUCUUGCUGUCACUUAUAGAUGGAUCCGCGCUGCAUUAGCUAGUUGGUAAGGUAACGGCUUACCAAGGCAACGAUGCAUAGCCGACCUGAGAGGGUGAUCGGCCACACUGGAACUGAGACACGGUCCAGACUCCUACGGGAGGCAGCAGUAGGGAAUCUUCCGCAAUGGGCGAAAGCCUGACGGAGCAACGCCGCGUGAGUGAUGAAGGUCUUCGGAUCGUAAAACUCUGUUAUUAGGGAAGAACAUAUGUGUAAGUAACUGUGCACAUCUUGACGGCACCUAAUAAGAAAGCCACGGCUAACUACGUG
rnacentral:rRNA from 1 species